rnacentral:rRNA from 1 species
CACGUAGGGGGCAAGCGUUGUCCGGAUUUAUUGGGCGUAAAGAGCUCGUAGGCGGCUUAGUAAGUCGGGUGUGAAACCUCCAGGCUCAACCUGGAGACGCCACCCGAUACUGCUGUGGCUAGAGUCCGGUAGGGGAGCGUGGAAUUCCUGGUGUAGCGGUGAAAUGCGCAGAUAUCAGGAGGAACACCGGUGGCGAAAGCGCUCAUCUGGCCCAAUACUGACGCUGAGGCGCGAAAGCUAGGGGAGCAAACGGG